GACGAACGCUGGCGGCGUGCCUAAUACAUGCAAGUAGAACGCUGAAGAGAGGAGCUUACUCUUCUUGGAUGAGUUGCGAACGGGUGAGUAACGCGUAGGUAACCUGCCUUGUAGCGGGGGAUAACUAUUGGAAACGAUAGCUAAUACCGCAUAACAAUGGAUGACACAUGUCAUUUAUUUGAAAGGGGCAAUUGCUCCACUACAAGAUGGACCUGCGUUGUAUUAGCUAGUAGGUGAGGUAAUGGCUCACCUAGGCGACGAUACAUAGCCGACCUGAGAGGGUGAGCGGCCACACUGGGACUGAGACACGGCCCAGACUCCUACGGGAGGCAGCAGUAGGGAAUCUUCGGCAAUGGGGGCAACACUGACCGAGCAACGCCGCGGGAGUGAAGAAGGUUUUCGGAUCGUAAAGCUCUGUUGUAAGUCAAGAACGGGUGUGAGAGUGGAAAGUUCACACUGUGACGGUAGCUUACCAGAAAGGGACGGCUAACUACGUG
rnacentral:rRNA from 1 species